GGAUGUGAGGGCGAUCUGGCUGCAACAUCUGUCACCCCAUUGAUCGCCAGGCGGGUGUCCCCUUUCCCUCACUGCUCCAUGUGUGUCUGUCCCAAAGCUGCGCGCUCGGAUGGAAGAGGACCGCCUUCCCUGAAUAGAGACAGAAGGAUCUUUGGUCGAGGGUAUAGGAGUAGCUGCGCUCCCCUGCUAGAUCCUCCAAAUAAGCUCUCAGAGCCAUAGGCUGAAAUUGAGAUAGAUUGUUAAAAAUGCCUAAUAUGAUCAGAUAGUUUAACUGGGUAGCCUUU
ensembl:misc_RNA 7SK 7SK RNA